rnacentral:lncRNA from 1 species
CCGAGUGUUUAAGACGGACAUAGAGCUGGAGGUUCUGCACUACACCAAUAAAAUCUCCAGUGAGACCCACUGUGAGAUUGAUUUCUAUAAUUAUAUGGAAGCAUGUGAAAACCCUACCAUUUCCAAGGAUCUGACCAACAAUUACAGCAGGAAAUGUGGUCAUCUAAUUUAACUCUUAAACAUCAUCAGCAAGACUAAAAGCUUGGAUGCAUCCCAAUUAUCCCCACAAAUUAAUGGUCAGACAUUCUGGAUUUUCAUGGUUUUGGCUUCAGAAAAUUCUAAGUCUAGAAAGCAGCUGUUUCUAUGGGUAUCCCAAAGAAGAAAACUGCUACAUGAAACAAGAGCAAACUGUGGUCUCAUCUGCACAUUUGCAGAGUAGCAUCAGAUCCAUGGAGAUGCUGCUCACUGAAAAAGUAACACCCAUUGUGUUGGACCUCACCUACGUGACCUUUCCGGGGCAUAGUCUGGAAGGACAUGGAAAAUUAAAAGAGAAGUUAAACACUGCACAAUUAAGUGAGAAGAACUUUGAAUCUCAAUGAAUAACUCAGGCAAGACAAUAGGAAGAGAAUGGAGAUAAGGAGAAGGUAUGAGCUACAAGAAGGAAGGUCAGCCCUCCGCCAAACCAGCAAGAUAUUCCCUGUGGUGAAGAAUGGCUGAUGAAUUUCAGCACAAAGCUAUCUAAUGUUCAGUUUCAAGUUGCUAUCUACAUGAUGCUAUGCCAUCAUCCCUCCAUUACUGCAAAGCUUCAGUAAAAGAGAGAAAGAAAGUUAACAGCAGAAAUGAGGAGCAAUAUUUAGGAAGCAUAACGGGGCAUAAAGACAUGUAAACUCUACAAAAUUACACAGUUCUGGAAUAUAAAGGAGAGAAGGCUGAAAAGUGAAGGGUGCAACCUAAGACUCUGACCAGUGACUAGGAGUUUUCCAGAGGAGGAAGAACGGGAAAGGCAUUUCAGGAAAAGGCCAGCAUGAACACGCAUAUGAAGCUGCACGCAGGUGCAGAAAAAGGGAGUGGCAGCCUAUUUUUUCUGACUGUAAAAUGGACUACAAGAGAAAAUUCCUGCUCAGAGGGUGCCCUCUCUUGGUAAGCGUGCACAUGCAGUGUUUCUCUCC